rnacentral:rRNA from 1 species
UACGGGGGGGGCAAGCGUUGUUCGGAAUUACUGGGCGUAAAGGGCUCGUAGGCGGCCAACUAAGUCGGACGUGAAAUCCCUCGGCUCAACCGGGGAACUGCGUCCGAUACUGGAUGGCUUGAAUUCGGGAGAGGGAUGCGGAAUUCCAGGUGUAGCGGUGAAAUGCGUAGAUAUCUGGAGGAACACCGGUGGCGAAGGCGGCAUCCUGGACCGAGAUUGACGCUGAGGAGCGAAAGCCAGGGUAGCAAACGGG